UUUUAGCAGGGAAGAAGCGAAAGUGACGGUACCUGCAGAAAAAGCGCCGGCUAACUACGUGCCAGCAGCCGCGGUAAUACGUAGGGCGCAAGCGUUAUCCGGAAUUAUUGGGCGUAAAGAGCUCGUAGGCGGUUUGUCGCGUCUGCUGUGAAAACCCGAGGCUCAACCUCGGGCCUGCAGUGGGUACGGGCAGACUAGAGUGCGGUAGGGGAGAUUGGAAUUCCUGGUGUAGCGGUGGAAUGCGCAGAUAUCAGGAGGAACACCGAUGGCGAAGGCAGAUCUCUGGGCCGUAACUGACGCUGAGGAGCGAAAGGGUGGGGAGCAAACAGGCUUAGAUACCCUGGUAGUCCACCCCGUAAACGUUGGGAACUAGUUGUGGGGUCCAUUCCACGGAUUCCGUGACGCAGCUAACGCAUUAAGUUCCCCGCCUGGGGAGUACGGCCGCAAGGCUAAAACUCAAAGGAAUUGACGGGGACCCGCACAAGCGGCGGAGCAUGCGGAUUAAUUCGAUGCAACGCGAAGAACCUUACCAAGGCUUGACAUAUACGAGAACGGGCCAGAAAUGGUCAACUCUUUGGACACUCGUAAACAGGUGGUGCAUGGUUGUCGUCAGCUCGUGUCGUGAGAUGUUGGGUUAAGUCCCGCAACGAGCGCAACCCUCGUUCUAUGUUGCCAGCACGUAAUGGUGGGAACUCAUGGGAUACUGCCGGGGUCAACUCGGAGGAAGGUGGGGAUGACGUCAAAUCAUCAUGCCCCUUAUGUCUUGGGCUUCACGCAUGCUACAAUGGCCGGUACAAAGGGCUGCAAUACCGCAAGGUGGAGCGAAUCCCAAAAAGCCGGUCCCAGUUCGGAUUGAGGUCUGCAACUCGACCUCAUGAAGUCGGAGUCGCUAGUAAUCGCAGAUCAGCAACGCUGCGGUGAAUACGUUCCCGGGUCUUGUACACACCGCCCGUCAAGUCAUGAAAGUCGGUAACACCUGAAGCCGGU
rnacentral:rRNA from 1 species